CCGAGCCCACUGGGAACUAUGGAAGAUAGUUCUCACCCCACUCUAUUUUCAGUGGUAGGUUCAGGGCUGCAGAGAGAGGACCGCGGCAAGGGCGUCGCGCCCGACCAGUGAGACCGUGGUAGUAUAGUAGCUUUCCUUUUUGUAUUAGUCACUUAUGUAUUGAGAGAGAGAUUUAUUAUAGGUGAGGAUUUGGAGAGCUAUGUAUUUUGGAUGAAAAAUGUAUUCAUUUAAAGAAAAUGAUGUAAAUGAGGAUGUUGAAACUAUUGUAAUAGUUAGCAAGGUACUCUCUUUAUUUCACUUGUU
rnacentral:lncRNA from 1 species